rnacentral:rRNA from 1 species
GACGAACGCUGGCGGCGUGCCUAACACAUGCAAGUCGAGCGGGGAUUUAAGUGGAAGUUCUUCGGACUGGAGCUUUAAAUUCUAGCGGCGGACGGGUGAGUAACGCGUGAACAAUCUGUCCCGGACAGGGGGAUAACACUUGGAAACAGGUGCUAAUACCGCAUAAGACCACGGCCUCGCAUGGGGCUGAGGUAAAAGGAGCAAUCCGGUUCGGGGGGAGUUCGGGUACGAGUAGCUAGUGGGUGAGGUAACGGCCCACCAAGGCGACGAUCGGUAGCCGGCCGGAGAGGGGGAACGGCCACAGUGGAACUGAGAGACGGUCCAGACGCCUACGGGAGGCAGCAGUGGGGAAUAUUGGGCAAUGGGCGAAAGCCUGACCCAGCAACGCCGCGUGAGGGAAGAAGGUUUUCGGAUUGUAAACCUCUGUCCUAUGAGACGAAGGAAGUGACGGUACCAUAGGAGGAAGCCCCGGCUAACCACGUA